rfam:Isoptericola dokdonensis DS-3, complete genome.
GCCGGCCCGUCCGACGAGGCCUCCUCCCGCAAGGGUCUGGCGCACUUCCCCGGCGUCAGAACGGAGCGGAGGGAGACCUGGCCGGGCGGUCCGGACGGA